AGCGAACGCUGGCGGCAGGCCUAACACAUGCAAGUCGAACGGAUCCUUCGGGAUUAGUGGCGGACGGGUGAGUAACACGUGGGAACGUGCCCUUUGGUUCGGAACAACUCAGGGAAACUUGAGCUAAUACCGGAUGUGCCCUUCGGGGGAAAGAUUUAUCGCCAUUGGAGCGGCCCGCGUCUGAUUAGCUAGUUGGUGAGGUAAAGGCUCACCAAGGCGACGAUCAGUAGCUGGUCUGAGAGGAUGAUCAGCCACAUUGGGACUGAGACACGGCCCAAACUCCGACGGGAGGGAGCAGUGGGGAAUAUUGCGCAAUGGACGGAAACCUGACGCAGCCAUGCCGCGUGAAUGAGGAAAGUCUUAGGAUUGUAAAAUUCUUUCACCGGGGACGAUAAUGACGGUACCCGGAGAAGAAGCCCCGGCUAACUUCGUGCCAGCCGCCGCAGUAAAAC
rnacentral:rRNA from 1 species